CACGUAGGGUGCGAGCGUUGUCCGGAAUUAUUGGGCGUAAAGAGCUCGUAGGCGGUGUGUCGCGUCGGCCGUGAAAACCUGCAGCUUAACUGCGGGCUUGCGGUCGAUACGGGCAUCACUGGAGUUCGGCAGGGGAGACUGGAAUUCCUGGUGUAGCGGUGAAAUGCGCAGAUAUCAGGAGGAACACCAAUUGCGAAGGCAGCUCGCUGGGACGUUACUGACGCUGAGGAGCGAAAGCAUGGGGAGCGAACAGG
rnacentral:rRNA from 1 species